rnacentral:rRNA from 1 species
UACGAAGGGUGCAAACGUUGCUCGGAAUUAUUGGGCGUAAAGCGCACGUAGGCGGCUUGGCAAGUCGGAUGUGAAAUCCCACGGCUCAACCGUGGACGUGCAUUCGAAACUGCUCGGCUCGAGUAUGGAAGAGGGUCGCGGAAUUCCCGGUGUAGAGGUGAAAUUCGUAGAUAUCGGGAGGAACACCAGUGGCGAAGGCGGCGACCUGGGCCAAUACUGACGCUGAGGUGCGAAAGCGUGGGGAGCAAACAGG